AGGGAAGGUAAUAGUUGUUAGUUUUAGAUCUAUAUGGGCCAAAAUUAGGUUGGGCCCUUUUCCAUGCCUCAUUUUGAUUUUCCACUUUUAGGGCUGGCUCUAUAAUUUGGUCCAUCCUUUGAGCCUUGAGUAUGACUUCCGCCUGUCUUGCCGGUUUCAUGCCACUGGUGAAUUUCCUUUCAUCACCGCUUCCAGGCUCGUCGACGAUGGAGCUUCUAGAUUUUCCAUCAUUCUUUAAUCCUCCUUGACCGUACUCUCCUCUUAAAAAAACCAGCCAGCUGAAUUAUCACCAUGGAACACUGCAUCUGGAAUUGUCAGCAUCUUCAUCUUCUCCUACGUGUUUUGUAGCAACCAUUCUAGUUCAGAACUCUUCGAUAGAGGAGACUCUACAACUCCCAAUGGCUUCCCCUUCUCUUUUAUUGUGUCUUCUUAUUGAGGUGGAUUCUAGUUUGUGCCCUCUUGAGACAAACCAAAUCUGUCAAUCAUCAACCCUUUCAAUUCUCUCCAAGUUAGCACGGUCCGUUGUCGAUCGACAUCCUAAAACCAAUUCCAUAUUUGCCGGUCAAAAUAGGUUGUUGUAGCCUCUAUUUUCUCUGCCUCCAAUAAUUGAGUUCUGGAGAAGAUCCCUUCCGCCAAGUACAGCCACCAUUUUGUGUUUUCUCCGUGGAAUAUUGAUAUAUUUAGCUGGUUGUAUGAAUCCAGCCCCGAGUCAUCGUCUCGAUCUCCUUCCCAUCACAUUACCAUCUUCUCAAGCCGAUUCAAUAGCGAGAUCCAACUCUCUUCUAAUUCUCUGUUGAAAUUAGUUCUUCUGUCUGAGAAAGAAUGCUCUGAUACCAACUUGAUAGGAACUGGUUUGCUGGUGAAGUUCUAAUCAAUUUAGACGUUGCUGCUGAUCUAUAUAGCUACUGGAAAAUUUCUUCUCUGUUGCAACAGUAGAUCUAAUGGCCGCAGCAGCUGGUGAAUCUGCUCUGGACAUGUAUAUCUGUUGAUGAACCUAUCUACAGGAUCUAAUUAGAUAGUAGAAAUUGUAACCGGUAUAUGAAGGAAUGAAGAGAAAUUGUAUGAUUUGUGAAUUGUAUAAUAUUGACUAUUGAAGAACAAUGUAUUUGAACUUGAAUGUAUUAAAGCAGAGAAUGAAUAAUAAAACAAUUCCAGACAUUCAAGAGGCUUACA
rnacentral:lncRNA from 1 species